CCUACGGGGGGCAGCAGUGGGGGAUAUUGCACAAUGGGGGGAACCCUGAUGCAGCGACGCCGCGUGGGUGAAGAAGCGCCUCGGCGCGUAAAGCCCUGUCAGCAGGGAAGAAAAUGACGGUACCUGACGAAGAAGCCCCGGCUAACUACGUGCCAGCAGCCGCGGUAAUACGUAGGGGGCAAGCGUUAGCCGGAUUUACUGGGUGUAAAGGGGGCGCAGACGGCGAUGCAAGCCAGGAGUGAAAGCCCGGGGCCCAACCCCGGGACUGCGCUUGGAACUGCGUGGCUGGAGUGCAGGAGGGGCAGGCGGAAUUCCUUGUGUAGCGGUGAAAUGCGUAGAUAUCAGGAGGAACACCGGUGGCGAAGGCGGCCUGCUGGACUGCAACUGACGUUGAGGCCCGAAAGCGUGGGGAGCAAACAGGAUUAGAUACCCCGGUAGUC
rnacentral:rRNA from 1 species